GACGAGGUCAAGACCAAGGGCAAGGCCGCCAUUGACGUGAUCUGCAACCCGCUGGGCAAGUCCGGCGGUGCCCUGAUCCAGCAGUUCAUGAUCAUCGGCCUGGGCUCGCUGGCCGCCUCGACCCCGUACCUGGGCGCCAUCCUGUGCGUCAUCAUCGUGGCCUGGAUCAACGCCGCCGCCUCGCUGAACAAGCAGUUCACGGCGCUGCAGGAGGAGACCGGCAUGUACAUCACCGGCGAGAAGCCCGCCAACAAGUCCGAGAAGAAGGACUAAGCGGCUCGGCCCUGACCGUGGUAGAGGGUCAGCCGUGACCAGACGCCCUGACGGGUCGGCCUGGGUGGUGGUGGUGUGUAGACGAGAGAGGUGAGAGAUCAGACGGCCUCGGCGGAGCUCGUGAAGAUUGGCCAUUGACGCAUUCAGUUGGUGCUGGAGACUCAUGACGAAGACACGGACUCAGGAGGACUGGUGGGCGCACUGCGGUCGGCACCCGGCGACGGC
rnacentral:lncRNA from 1 species